GCNUGACCUCAAAUCAGGUAGGAUUACCGCUGAA
rnacentral:rRNA from 1 species